AUCCAGCUGACGAGUCCGAAACAGGACGAAACGCGCAUCUUGGAU
rfam:Schistosoma haematobium scaffold569_28, whole genome shotgun sequence.